rnacentral:rRNA from 1 species
CCUACGGGUGGCAGCAGUCGAGAAUCAUUCACAAUGGGGGAAACCCUGAUGGUGCGACGCCGCGUGGGGGAAUGAAGUUCUUCGGAUUGUAAACCCCUGUCAUGUGGGAGCAAAUUCAAAAGAUAGUACCACAAGAGGAAGAGCCGGCUAACUCUGUGCCAGCAGCCACGGUAAUACAGAGGGCUCAAGCGUUGUUCGGAAUAACUGGGCGUAAAGCGUGCGUAGGCUGUUUCGUACGACGUGUGUGAAAGGCGCGGGCUCAACCCGCGGACGGCAGAUGAUACUGCGAGACUAGUGUGAGGGAGGGGGAAGUGGAAUUCGCGGUGUAGCAGUGAAAUGCGUAGAUAUCGAGAGGAACACUCGUGGCGAAGGCGGGUUCCUGGACCUUAACUGACGCUGAGGCACGAAGGCCAGGGGAGCGAAAGGGAUUAGAUACCCCAGUAGUC